UACGUAGGGGGCGAGCGUUGUCCGGAUUCAUUGGGCGUAAAGAGCUCGUAGGCGGCUUGCUAAGUCGGGUGUGAAACCCCCGAGCUCAACUCGGGGUCGCCAUCUGAUACUGGUAUGGCUGGAGUCCGGUAGGGGACCACGGAAUUCCUGGUGUAGCGGUGAAAUGCGCAGAUAUCAGGAGGAACACCGGUGGUGUAGACGGCUCUCUGGACCGUAACUGACGCUGAAACACGAAAGCGUGGGUAGCAAACGGG
rnacentral:rRNA from 1 species